CUUAGUAAACUGUACAAUAAAACACUCGUUGAAGUUCAAUAAAAAAAAAGAUAACAACAAAAUGAAAGAACCCAUGGAGUGAAAUUUACGAAAAUCAGGCACAUCAAAACCUUGGGCUGCCGCCUGCCCCUCCCCAUGGAAAUUUUCGAUGGUAACCUUGACAGGCUCGAGCACUACCAUAUGUCUGCUAGCUUGCACAUUUAGUACAUCCCUGACAGCGGCCUCCAGCACCAUGGGAUCAACCACAGCUUGAGCCCCAGUCACCCCCAUUUGCGCACAGAAAUUAUUAAUAGCCUCUGGAGGAAAACCCCUUCUUCUCAAUGCAGUUAACGUAAACAGUCUAGGAUCAUCCCAAUCACUAACAAUCCCUUCACCAAUCAAUUUUGCUAUUUUCCUUUUCGAAACCACAGUAUAACUGACAUUUAAUCGCCCAUACUCCCACUGGACUGGACAGUAAACUUCCAAAAUAUUACAGAGCCAGUAAUAAGAGCUUCUCCUCGUCUGGAACUCCUUAGUGCAGAGAGAAUGCGUAAUAUUCUCGAUACUAUCACAAAGGCAAUGUGUGAAGUCGUAUGUCGGAUAAAUGCACCAUUUAUCACCGGUUCUGUGAUGAGGGUUGCUUCUCCUUCUUCCAAUAAUCCAUUCUUCAUGUCCUCAAACAGCUGAAGACUCUCAGAAAUUGGCCGCUCUCUCCAGGGGGAAGGUGGAGGAUUGAAUCCCUUCAUCUCUUCGCUUUUUUGAUGACAGACGGUUCGUGUCAUCGUAACGGAGAUAACAGAGACCUGAGAAAAAUUAUUCGGACAUAGCAACAGAGAAGUUAAACGAGAUGAGUCAAUUUUGCUUGGGAAGAUUAUUUCGGAUUGAAAGGGUGAGAUUUGUGUUCUCUCUCCACGCCGCAAUAAAACAAAACAAAUAGUUAGAAACAAAAACUGGCGGAAUUUAACUGAAAAUUGAAGUAAACCAAAAAACUAAACUCCAUCACGGCAACAAACUAUAACAAAUUCCAAUUAUACCGUUAUUAAACCUUGUGUCUAUUGUUAUAUACAUUUUCCUUAGGAAAUUUCGGCAAUA